rnacentral:lncRNA from 1 species
GUUGAAUAUGUGAAUCAAAGAGGUGGCUUAAUUAAUCUACUCUCAUAAUGACAUUUGGCCUUUGGUGCCUCCCUAGUGUUAUCCAGAUGGUGGCAUUCAGAAACUAAAGUGCUUCCAAUUUAACAAAACAAAAAUAUUAUUCAAGUAAGGUCUCCCAUUUCCCUGACUGUAUUCUAUGAAAAUGAUUGAGUGGGAAGCAGGACUAUUCAAAUUUUAAGAGGGGGCUAGAUCAAGCUAGAUGUGGUGGUGCAUACCUGUAAUCCCAGUGGCUCAGGAAGCUGAGGUAGGAGGAUCACAAGUUCAAAGCCAGCCUCAGAAAUUUAGCAAGGCCCUAAGCAAUUCGGUGAGACUCUCUCUAAUAAUAUAGGAAAAAGGGCUGAGAUUUGUAGCUCAGAGAUAAAGCAGCUGUGGGUUCAAUCCCUGGUUCUCCCUUACAAAAAAGAGAGAAAAAAAAAAAGCCUAGGUCACUUUUUAGAGUUUUCUGGCUUUAAAAAAAAAAAAAAGAAAAAGAAAAAAUGAAAAGAAAAAUCCCCAAAAAUGUAGGUAUAUAUUUUUCCAGCUAACAGACUUUAUUUUUAAGAACAGUUUUAGAUUAACAGAAGAAUUGAGAAGAUGGUACAGAAAAUAACCCUGUACCCAUUUCUUGUAUUAUUACCAUCUUAAAUUAGUAUAGUGCAUUUGUAUUAAUGAAUCAACAUUGAUACAUUAUCAUUAAUAAGUUCAUCACUGAUUCAGUUCUAUUUAGGUUGACUUUAUGUCUGUUCCUAUUCUGUGAUCCCACCCAGGAUACUACGUUACAUGAAGCUGUCAUAUCUCCUUAGGUUAUUGUAGACUGUGACAGUUCCUCAGACUUUGUUUCUGAAGACCUUGAUGGUUUUGAGAAUUGCUGGUCAAGAGUAUUGUAGGGUCUCCCUUUACUAGACUUGUCUGAUGUUUUUUCUUACGAUUAUAUAAGGAUUAUGGGAAGACAACUACAUUAUAUCACAUAGAGGGUACAUAAAAUUAUUAUUGUUGAUGUUGACCUUGAUUGCCUGGCUGAGAUGGGAUUUGUCAGAAUUCUCCCUAUUAAGUUAUUCUCUCCUCAUUGUCUUUCCAUACUGUACUCUUUGGAAAGAAGGUAUUAGAUGCGGC